rnacentral:rRNA from 1 species
GGGUCAGUAGGUUGGUCGUGCCACCGGUACGUACUGGUCUCACCGAUUCCUCCUUCCUGAAGAACCGUAAUGCCAUUAAUUUGGUGGUGCGGGGAAACAGGACUGUUACUUUGAAAAAAUUAGAGUGUUUAAAGCAAGCUAACGCUUGAAUACAUUAGCAUGGAAUAAUGAAAUAGGACGAUCGAUCCUAUUUUGUUGGUUUCUAGGAUUGACGUA